GAUGAACGCUGGCGGCGUGCCUAAUACAUGCAAGUCGAGCGAACAGACGAGGAGCUUGCUCCUCUGAUGUUAGCGGCGGACGGGUGAGUAACACGUGGAUAACCUACCUAUAAGACUGGGAUAACUUCGGGAAACCGGAGCUAAUACCGGAUAACAUGUUGAAUCGCAUGGUUCAACAGUGAAAGACGGUCUUGCUGUCACUUAUAGAUGGAUCCGCGCCGCAUUAGCUAGUUGGUAAGGUAACGGCUUACCAAGGCAACGAUGCGUAGCCGACCUGAGAGGGUGAUCGGCCACACUGGAACUGAGACACGGUCCAGACUCCUACGGGAGGCAGCAGUAGGGAAUCUUCCGCAAUGGGCGAAAGCCUGACGGAGCAACGCCGCGUGAGUGAAGAAGGUCUUCGGAUCGUAAAACUCUGUUAUUAGGGAAGAACAAAUGUGUAAGUAACUAUGCACGUCUUGACGGUACCUAAUCAGAAAGCCACGGCUAACUACGUG
rnacentral:rRNA from 1 species